GACGAACGCUGGCGGCGUGCUUAACACAUGCAAGUCGAGCGGUAAGGCCCUUUCGGGGGUACACGAGCGGCGAACGGGUGAGUAACACGUGGGUGACCUGCCUUUAGCUCUGGGAUAAGCCUGGGAAACUGGGUCUAAUACCGGAUAUGACUCCGCGGUGCAUGCUGUGGGGUGGAAAGCCUUGUGCGGCUGGGAGAGUGGGCCCGCGGCCUAUCAGCUUGUUGGGUGGGGUGAUGGCCACCAAGGCGACGACGGGUAGCCGGCCUGAGAGGGCGACCGGCCACACUGGGACUGAGACACGGCCCAGACUCCUACGGGAGGCAGCAGGUGGGGAAUCUUGCGCAAUGGGCGAAAGCCUGACGCAGCGACGCCGCGUGAGGGAUGACGGCC
rnacentral:rRNA from 1 species